AGGCCCAGGUCUCAGGCCUCCUAGGUCACUGAGCUUUCCAGAUCCAAGUCCCUCCCAGACCUUGAGAAGUCACACUGAGGGGGAGGGAGGCCAGGCCUGACCCCGGGCAGCCUCUCCCCUUUCUCACACCCCAGGCAGAGGAAACAAGCUUGUGGUUGCAACACUGUGACCUCUGAGGUUCACAGCGGCCCUCUGCUGACCACAGCUGCCCCCCUGCACUGGCUGAGUCACACUCGGGCCAGCGCCUCCAGCCCAGCGCAGGGUGGGGGUGGCUUCUCCCACACUCAGGCUCUUCCAGAGACUUCCAUCCCGUUUGGACACAGCUCUGUGGUGGGCAGAGAGCUCAUGACUCUGAGCCCAGGGACCUGGGCUGGGUGGCUUGGCUUCUGUGCGGACAGUGGGCUUCGGGCUGGAAACCCUCCUGGAGAUGCAUGGACUCAGUCCACUGCCGGGGGAGCCGGGCGCUCGGACCAGACACCGCGAGGCUGACUCUCCUCUUCCCCCCCCUUCCCUGUGUGUCCCUGGACACAGGGCUGGACGGCCCUGCGUCCGAGAUCUCAGCACAGCGGGGAUGUGGAGCUGCUGCCGGAGUCGCUGGGAGCCCGAAGCCCCCGUCCAGUGCGGACGCGUCAGUGGGAAUCAGAACGUCCUUCCCGACGUGGACACUGGAUUCCUCGUCCCCCGGAGAGCAACGCUGUGACCCCUGGGGAGUCAGUGAUCCUGGCGUGGCCGUCGGAUGGGAAGGGACGGGUGAGGAACAAGACAUGCACCACUUCCCACGGGUGCUGGAACAAGCAGGGGACGACUGGGGGACGUGUGCCCCGAGCUUGCAGCCGCUGGGUGGGGGGAUCAGAGGGCCCAUGGGCUCCCCACUGCUUGGCGUCGGACACAGCAAGCCGAGAACAACCGGAGAAGGAAGGAGGCGUCCCACCUGGGGUUGGUGUGGGAGCUGAGCCCUGCCCUUCCCACCAUCAGCAUCCGGGACAGCAGCUCUGUCCCGGCCCAGGGGCCUCCCCUCUGUGACCCUCAGAGCCCUGGGACCCCACAAGGGAUGCUGCCAUCUGUGCCCAAACCCUCAAGCCCUCCUGUCAUGGGAGUGGAAGGACCCCUCCCUCCCUCAGAUGCCGUCCCGGGGGCAGAACCCGUCCUUGAGCUCAGAACUGCCCCUGGUUCUCCAGACCCCAUAAGAGCUGCUUGGGCCAUCCCAGCGCGGUACGGACCCCACUGCUCAGCCCCCCUUUCUCUUCCUGGGCCCGCUGCCUAGGAUCCUGUGAGGGGGGAGGCAGCUCACUGUCCCCAUUCUCUGCAGGGUGGGCAGAUCUCGGGGGACCUGCUUAACAGCAUCUGAGCCACAGAGCAGGGCCCCCACCCCGACCUGGGGGAACACGGACUGCUGAAGGCUGUGCGGGUGUUGCUGAAUGUGGACUUGCAGUAGUACCCUUUCCUUUUCUCACACACCCAUCCUUUCACACCCGGACGCCAAACGGCGUUUCCUUUAGUAACGAAUAUUUUAGCCACUCUCUUUCCUUCUGAAGAUGAUUGUGAUGAAUUCCCUACCCUCCAUAUCCUCCAAAUCUACUCAAAACAGCCCCACAAACUGGAGAAUAAUCUGGCCUGAAGGGCUCAGGUGGCAUCUAUGCGUGUGGAGAAGAAACCCCUUCCCGAUUCCCUGUGCUUGAAACGACCGGCCCGCCCGGCACCAAGGAGCACAGCGCGUGUGCAGACCGAACCCCACUCCUGGGCAGAUGUAGAGCUCCCCGCAGGAGUGGCUGCUUCGCGGCCUGAAGCAGGAGUGUCGGAGAUGGGCCGGGAGCAUCGGGCACCUCGGAGGAGGAGCCCGCGAAAGAGCACCCAGGGGCAACUCUAGAACUCCGCGAGCAGCAGCCUAAGAGACCUGAUGCUGAAGAGUUUUCCUGAGGAAAGGAUGCUGUACUUCGUCAAGUGCUUUUCCUGCAACAAUCAAGAGGAUCACAUGGUUCUUGUCCCUUCUCUUAUUAAGAUGCUCUAUUACGUCGAUUGAUUUCCAAGUGUUGAACCACCCUUGCAGCCCAGGAGUAAAUCCCACCGAGUUGUGGUGAAUAAUCCUUUCAAUAAACUGUUGGAUCCUG